UACGUAGGGCGCAAGCGUUGUCCGGAAUUAUUGGGCGUAAAGAGCUCGUAGGCGGUGUCGAAAGUUUGGCGUGAAAUCUCCCGGCUUAACUGGGAGGGUGCGCCGAAAACUGCGGUGCUGGAGUGUGGGAAAGGCAAGCGGAAUUCCUGGUGUAGCGGUGAAAUGCGUAGAUAUCAGGAGGAACACCGGCGGUGUAGACGGCUUGCUAGACCAUAACUGACGCUGAGGCACGAAAGCGUGGGUAGCAAACAGG
rnacentral:rRNA from 1 species